CUUAUGUCAGUGUUGGUUUGUGUUAGUCUCCAAAUUUGUUAGUGCAUGCAGCAGGGGCCCGCGUCGUGCGUGCAGGAGCGCGCCGUGCGCGUGGCCGGGCUUAGCGGAUCACGGGUGCAUGGAGGAGUGCAGCGCAGUAGUAGUGUGUGUUCACUGCGUAUAAAACAUCCCCUGUAUACUGCUUGUAGAGGUGGCCAGAGAGUUGGAUAGUGGAAAGAGGCGUUUGUGCGCCUGGGCGUUUGAGCGCCGGGAAAGCCCACUAUUGUAUCUAGUUCUUCUUCUACCUCUAGCGACACGAGAGAGAGAGUUGCGCCAACACACAUCAACCGAAUCUACCGUCUCCCACCGGAGUGCAUGGCGGGGGUGGCGCCCGCGGCCGCCGCGGAGGCUUCGUCCCCGUCGACUUGUUGGGCUUGGGCGGAGGGGGCGCCUUCGCCGGCACCCUCUGCCCCAGCGACCUCGCUCCCCUCGCCACAGAUCUCCGGCCACCAUCGGCUCCCUCCGCCGCGCUCGGCGCCUUCACUUCGCCGCUCGUGCCAACGGUGUAGCGCGAUGCUCCGUCGGGCAUUGCACAUGAGCACAGUAGGAGGGCAACCACGAGCAGGGAGGUGACCAUCUUCUUGCAGUACAUGACGAGUACGUGUGCAGUUACCUACCGAGCUAGUGCCUAGUACUCGUACCUGUUAUC
rnacentral:lncRNA from 1 species